rnacentral:rRNA from 1 species
GCUCAACCUCGGGCGUGCGGUGGGUACGGGCAGGCUAGAGUGUGGUAGGGGAGACUGGAACUCCUGGUGUAGCGGUGAAAUGCGCAGAUAUCAGGAAGAACACCGAUGGCGAAGGCAGGUCUCUGGGCCAUUACUGACAUUGAGAAGCGAAAGCAUGGGUAGCGAACAGGAUUAGAUACCCUGGUAGUCCAUGCCGUAAACGUUGGGCACUAGGUGUGGGGGACAUUCCACGUUUUCCGCGCCGUAGCUAACGCAUUAAGUGCCCCGCCUGGGGAGUACGGCCGCAAGGCUAAAGCUCAAAGGAAUUGACGGGGGCCCGCACAAGCGGCGGAGCAUGCUGAUUAAUUCGAUGCAACGCGAAGAACCUUACCAAGGCUUGACAUGCACUGGACGGCUGCAGAGAUGUGGCUUUCUUUGGACUGGUGCACAGGUGGUGCAUGGUUGUCGUCAGCUCGUGUCGUGAGAUGUUGGGUUAAGUCCCGCAACGAGCGCAACCCUCGUUCUAUGUUGCCAGCACGUGAUGGUGGGGACUCAUAGGAGACCGCCGGGGUCAACUCGGAGGAAGGUGGGGACGACGUCAAAUCAUCAUGCCCCUUAUGUCUUGGGCUUCAAGCAUGCUACAAUGGUCGGUACAAUG